rnacentral:rRNA from 1 species
GGGUUGUGAGGUUAAGCGACUAAGCGUACACGGUGGAUGCCCUGGCAGUCAGAGGCGAUGAAGGACGUGCUAAUCUGCGAUAAGCGCCGGUAAGGUGAUAUGAACCGUUAUAACCGGCGAUUUCCGAAUGGGGAAACCCAGUGUGACUCGUCACACUAUCAUUAACUGAAUCCAUAGGUUAAUGAGGCGAACCGGGGGAACUGAAACAUCUAAGUACCCCGAGGAAAAGAAAUCAACCGAGAUUCCCCCAGUAGCGGCGAGCGAACGGGGAGGAGCCCAGAGCCUGAAUCAGCAUGUGUGUUAGUGGAAGCGUCUGGAAAGGCGCGCGAUACAGGGUGACAGCCCCGUACACAAAAGCGCAUGUGCUGUGAGCUCGAUGAGUAGGGCGGGACACGUGGUAUCCUGUCUGAAUAUGGGGGGACCAUCCUCCAAGGCUAAAUACUCCUGACUGACCGAUAGUGAACCAGUACCGUGAGGGAAAGGCGAAAAGAACCCCGGCGAGGGGAGUGAAAAAGAACCUGAAACCGUGUACGUACAAGCAGUGGGAGCCUCUUUUAUGGGGUGACUGCGUACCUUUUGUAU